rnacentral:rRNA from 1 species
AUUGAACGCUGGCGGCAUGCCUUACACAUGCAAGUCGAACGGCAGCACGGGGCAGCCUGGUGGCGAGUGGCGAACGGGUGAGUAAUGCAUCGGAACGUACCUUUCAGUGGGGGAUAACGUAGCGAAAGUUACGCUAAUACCGCAUAUUCUGUGAGCAGGAAAGCAGGGGAUCGCAAGACCUUGCGCUGAUUGAGCGGCCGAUGUCAGAUUAGCUAGUUGGUGAGGUAAAGGCUCACCAAGGCGACGAUCUGUAGCGGGUCUGAGAGGAUGAUCCGCCACACUGGAACUGAGACACGGUCCAGACUCCUACGGGAGUCAGCAGGGGGGAAUUUUGGACAAUGGGGGCGACCCUGAUCCAGCCAUGCCGCGUGAGUGAAGAAGGCCUUCGGGUUGUAAAGCUCUUUCGGCCGGGAAGAAAUCGCACGGGCUAAUACCCUGUGUGGAUGACGGUACCGGAAUAAGAAGCACCGGCUAACUACGUGCCAGCCGCCGCGGUAAAAC